rnacentral:lncRNA from 1 species
CCUAUAUCCAUAAGCUGUCACUCUUCAUUCUCCCCUACAUCCAGCUCCUGGCAACUGCUAAUCUGCUUUCUGUCUCUAUGGAUUUGCCUAUUCUGAACAUUUCACAUACAUGGAGUCAUAUGGAAGAAAGGAAAAAAGGAAGAGGAUCUUCUCUGAAACUCAUGACUCAGUUCAUGGCCCGACAGUAACAUGGCCCACCUUCCCUGCCUCUGGAGGUGCCCUCCCCAGUAAAAUCUGGAGCAUCCCAAGAAUCUGUACAAGUUCACAGUCAGCAUUCUUUACCAUCAUGGGAGCAGCUCUCAGGAAACAAGCUGAAUGCUGUUAGGCGGAUUAUAAACACAGUCUCAAGUUGCUCGAGGCAUAUGGCAUACGUCUAAACUGUUAAACAACCUCUUCCUGGUGUUCAUAUGUCAAUCUCCUUCUAGUCUACAUGCCAACCCUUUACUGGACGCUUGACCCUAUCUUUUCAGCCCUUCCAUUCUACUUUCACUGCACGCUUAGGCCAACUUCUGUCUUGAAGUCCCCUAAGUCCCUGGAGAAAGGUGAUCUCUUUAUUUUGGCCUCACACCCACUCCCUUUGGCCUCAGGUUGAAAUUCCUCUCCUAAAAGUCACUUGCACCUGAACCAGGCCCCGCCUUUGCCCCUGGGGAUCCUCAUAAGCACCUUCUCUAGAUUCUGAGGACAGGCCCCUCACUCUGUUUCUGCGACAGGGUUGCCCAUCUCUCUUAAUGGUCUGCCUCUUGCCUGCUCCCCACCCGUCCCCAGCCUGCCUGGCCAGGGGUCAUCAGCCAACCAAGGAUCACAGUGUCCCAAGCCACAGCUCUCGUCUCCUACCACCAGUUUGUAACUGGGACACAUUCAAAUAGAACAGCAACACAAGGGUGUUUUAUUUGAAAUCUGUUGCCUUGGGUGAGCUCUACCAGGCCCCCACACCUCAAAUCCUCCUAGAUCCUAGAAGAAAGAAGCUGUUUUCACUUUGUAAAGCACACAGCUGCCACUCUGCCAUGAGGCCCCCAGCUUACUACAGGAAGAACAUUUCCAAGGAACUGCAGUUGUGUGUGACGGGGCCAAGUAAGCGAUCAUGAGAGCUACCAUUUACAGAGCACUCGCUACGGAUCAGGUACUGUGUUAAGUACUGUCUAUUGUCUCACUGAAUUCUUCCAGUCACCUGUGAGGUAACAACGAUUAUUAUCUCCGUCUUACACUUAAGGAAACUGAGGCUUAGAGUGGUUAAGUAACUGCCCAAAGUCACACAGCCACACCAGGUAGAGAGAGAAUUCCAACUCAGGUCUGUACAGUACAAAGUCUGCUCUUAACUCUGUCAUUACUCAACACAUUGACUUUACCCCAUCUAGCUUCACUUCACAAGGUUCAAGCUAGGAGACAUCCCUCAAGCGCCCAUUCACUCACUGCCUCUCUGUGUGCACAUCCUGUGAUGGUCCUUCCUUUUGCUCUCCUGUACUGUGGUCCUCAGACCAGCAGCUUCAUCAUCACCGACAAACUAGUUAGAAAUGCAAACUCUCCCCUAGCACACCAGCCCUACUGACUCAGGAGCUCCAGGGCUUGGGUUUGCCUAUCUGAGCUUUAACAAGCCCUCAGGGGACUUUGAUGCUGCCCAAGUUUGUGAUCUACAGCUAUAGAACAUCCAGGUACGCCAACAAUGGUGUGAAGUUGAAGAAAGAAUGGAUACAGUAAUUUAGGUAUCUGCCUAAACACAAAAAACAGAGAGAACAGAUUUGAUUUAGGAGAAGCCAAACUCCAAUCUUAUUUAGCCAGAGGGAAAAGGCUCCUGGAAUUUUUGCAGUUUCUUCUAAAUCCCUCUUGACUCCUUACCUUAUGGCCUUGAGAGACAAGGGUCUGCCACCCACCAAAAGACAUAGAAAAGGAAGAGCUGCCUCAGAGCACAGGUGGAACCAAUAGAAGAGGAGAAAAACCGCCCUGCCUCCCCCACCUCACGCUGACAUUCGGCACUGCCAUCAUAAUGUGGGGGGGACCCUGGCUAAGUGCUAUAUCAGUAAAGUUCCUGGCCUUUUGCUCAGUGUCCUAAAAUUCUCAAACCACUUUUUAAUAACAUAUUUUUUUGAUGAUAAAAGUAAUCUAUGUUAAUAGUCUGAAAACUUUAGAAAAAUAAGAAAACUAUAAAGAAAGUUAAAAACCACUCAUUCCUCUAUUCCUCAGGGAUAACAUUAUUAACUAUUUCGUAUAUUUCCUUCUAGCUUUCUUCUAUGCAGAGAUAAGCAUUUUUAUGGCACAUUUAAGUUGAUUUCAACAUUUUGUGCUAUAAAAUAAUACUGAUGAGAUCUUCAUAUAUAAAUCUUUGCCUGAAUAUUUUAUGAUAGAGUUCUAGAAAGGGAAUUAUAGGGUUAAAGGUUACAACUUUUAUUGAGGCUUUUGUUACUGGCAAACUGAGUUCAGAGAGCAUGUGCCAUUUUACAGUCCCCUCAAUAGCACAGGAAAGUGCCCAUUUUAACUCUUCCUCCUCAACUUUGGAAGUGUUCAGAAUUUCUCAACUUUGCUGACAGUAAUCUGAAUUUUGGCAAUAUUCCAGGAUUUGGAAGAUGAGAACAACAUGUAUCUUAUUAUCGUUUUCUAUCUGAGAAUUCCAGACCGAGGGCAACCUAAAUCAUCGGAUAAGAACAAGUUCACUUUGGAAUAUAUUAAACUCUAUAUGGAAAAAAUUAGAAAAAUGUCUAAAAAUUCCCAGUGGAGUAUUUAAAGAGCCUAAGAAGUACCUGCUAAUUAUCCUUACUAACCUGUUUACAUAAAAAUAACUUUUUAAAUGCUUUAAAUCAGGAUUCAAAAACUUAAAUGUUCUCAGGAGUCUGGCAGGUAAAUAAAUUAAUAAAACAGACUGGAGAAAUAAAAUAGGCAGCAGUUCACAGUAAAUGUAGAUUGUAUACCAGAGGAAAGGAAUUCAAAUUCAUAUUUAAAAAGUAAUCUACAUACACUUGUAAUGAGCAAUCUGAAAAUGAAGUUUAAAAAUAAUUCCAUUUAUAAUGGCAUAAAAAGAAGAAAAUACUUAAGAAUAAAAUUAACAAAAUAAAUGCAAAACAUAUACUCUGAAGCUACAAAACACUAUCAAAAGAAAUUAAAGAAGGCCCAAUUAAAUGGAAGGACAUCCCAUGUUCAUGGACUGGGAAACUUAAUAUUGUGAAGAUGGCAAUAUUCCCCAAAUUGAUCUACAGAUUCAAUGCAAUCCCUAUCAAAAUCCCGUUUGGCUUCUUUGCAGAAACUGACAAGCUAAUUCUAAAAUUCAUAUGUAAAUAGUUUUGAAAAAGAAGAACAAAGUUGGAGGACUAACACUUUUCAAUUAAAAACCUGCCAGAAAGUCAUCCAGACAGUAUGGUACUGGCAGGAGGACUGAAAUAAAUAGAAUGGAAUAGAAUUGAGAGUCCAAAAGUAAACCUUCAUAUUUAUGUCCAAUUGAUUUUUGACAUGGGCACCGAGAUAGUUAAAUCGGGAAAAGAACAAUCAUUUCAACAAACAGUGCUGGGACAACUGGAUAUCCACAGGUAGAAGAGGAAGUUAGACACUUACCUCAUACCAUAUUAAAAAAUUGACUCAAAACAUCAAAGACCUAAAUGUAAGAACUAAAACAGUAAAGGUUUUAGAAGAAAACAUAGGCAUAAAUCUUCAUGAUGCUGAAUUAGACAAUGGUUUCUUGGAUGUGACAGCAAAAGCACAAGUAACAAAAGAAAAAAAAUUGAUAAAUUGGACAUUACCAAAAUCUAAAGCUUUUCUGUUUCCAAUGACACCAUCAAGAAAGUACAAAGACAACCCUCAGAAUGGGUAAGUCAUAUAUCUGAUAAGGGGCUUGCAUCCAGAAUAUGUAAAGAACUCUUAGAACUCAACAAGAAAAAGAUAACCCAGUUUUCUAAAUGGGCAAAGGACUUGUACAGACAUUUCUCUAAAGAAGAUAUACAAAUGGCCAAUAAGCACGUGAAAAGAUGCAUAACAUCAUUAACCAUUGGGGAAAUGCAAAUCAAAACCGCAAUGACAUAUAACUUUACACCUAGUAGGAUUGCUAUAAUCCAAAGGAUUGGAUUGGUGAGGAUGUGGAGAAAUUGGAGCCCACAUACCCUGUUGGUGGGAAUGUGAAACGGUGCAGCUGCUUUAGAAAACAGUUUUGGUAACCUAACGUAAGGUUCGUUUUUGUAUGUGUUGCUCAUACUUGGUCACGUCAAUUUAUCUGGAGGCACGUUUGGAUUUAUCUUCAUGAUGUUAUUCAGAUCUACAUCCUUCUUUUUUUUUUUGCAUGAGGAAGAUUGUCGCUGAGCUAACAUCUGUUGCCAAUCUUCCUCUUUUUGCUUGAGGAAGAUUGUCACUGAGCUAACAUCUGUGCCCAUCUGCCUCUAUUUUAUGUGGGAUGCUGCCACAGCAUGGCUUGACAAGUGGUACUACAUUUCCACCCAGGAUCUGAACCUGUGAACCCUGGGCCGAUGAAGCAGAGUGUGUGAACUUAACCACUACGCCACCAGGCCGGCCCCAUUCCACAUCCUUCUUAGUUUUUCUCUGUUGGAUCAGAUAUGGACUAACAGAGGUGACUAAAAUCUUCUCCUUUUAUUCUUUCUCCUUUUUUAUUUUUUCUCCUUUCUCCUUUUAUUCUUUAUGAUUGCAUAAAGUUAUAUGAAAACUCUAUUGUCAUUGUAAAUUGCAACUUUUUCAUUACUCAUUUAUCUCUUCGUCUCAUUUAAGAUUCAAGUUCAGUCUUGUUUGACAUUAAUAAUGUGGAUCUAGGUUUCUCUUGUUAGUAUUUACCUUUUUAUACCUUUUUCUAAUCUUCUGGGUAUUGGGGAGAUAGCCAAAUAUACAAAUAUGUAAUUAAAUUAUCUUUACAUAAAAGGGAAGAGUGGGAGGGGGAGUAAAGGGGAGUACUGUAAGAGAGCUAAAUUU